AACAGUCCGAAAGGACUGCUAAUACCGCAUGUCAGGUACGGAAACUCCGGUUUCUGAACGAAAAAGGAGGGCGUCCGCAAGGAGCUCUCACCACGAGAUGAGUCCGCGUCCCAUCAGCUAGUUGGCGGUGUAAUGGACCACCAAGGCUUAGGACGGGUAGCUGGUCUGAGAGGAUGACCAGCCACACUGGGACUGAGACACGGCCCAGACUCCGUACGGGAGGCAGCAGUGGGGAAUAUUGGACAAUGGGCGAAAGCCUGAUCCAGCCAUGCCGCGUGAGUGAUGAAGGCCUUCGGGUCGUAAAGCUCUGUGGGGAGGGACGAAAAAGCGUGACCUAAUACGUCUCGCCCUUGACGGGUACCUCCUUAGCAAGCACCGGCUAACUCCGUGCCAGCAGCCGCGGUAAUACGGAGGGUGCAAACGUUGCUCGGAAUUAUUGGGCGUAAAGCGCACGUAGGCGGUCCGCUAAGUCGGAUGUGAAAGCCCUCGGCUUAACCGAGGAAGUGCAUCCGAAACUGACGGGCUAGAGUA
rnacentral:rRNA from 1 species